UAUAGCACAUAACUGCAGAACAUUUGGCAGUUCAAGGGUUAAUGUUUUACAAGUCUCAGCAGGUGUGUGGUUAGAAUCCUGAUGGCCAACUGUCAUUUAAAAAGAAGAAAACCUGUCAGAGAAGGCAGUGGCAGUUAGUUGGGAGUUUAUGUGUAAUUGGAGUCAGUCACUGAGACACUUGGGCCCGGUUCACACACAAUGGGAAACUGCAGAGUAACAUUUUAUCACUUUCAAGCAUCACAUUAUAGAGAAAGCAAAGAAGCUAUCAUGCUGAGAUUGUCAGCAACAUCUUCCACUAUUCAGUGGAAUCUUUUGAAGAACUGUUAAGACACCAUUUUGGCCUCUGAAGGGAUAACAAACAAUAACUGGAAGAUGAAAGAGCCUUUGAAUCCCUAGGAAGAAGAAUUGUUUAAAUUAAACUACAUUUGUCAGCA